CCUACGGGAGGCAGCAGUGGGGAAUUUUGGACAAUGGGCGCAAGCCUGAUCCAGCUAUUCCGCGUGUGGGAUGACGGCCCUCGGGUUGUAAACCACUUUAGUAGAGAACGAAAAGGAGCUAUCGAAUCACUAGCUCUGCUGACGGUACUCUAAGAAUAAGCACCGGCUAACUACGUGCCAGCAGCCGCGGUAAUACGUAGGGUGCGAGCGUUAAUCGGAAUUACUGGGCGUAAAAGGGGUGCAGGCGGCUGAGUCAGACAGAUGUGAAAUCCCCGGGCUUAACCUGGGAACCGCAGAUGUGACUGGUUGGCUAGAGUGGGUCAGAGGGAGGUGGAAUGCGAGGUGUAGCAGUGAAAUGCAUAGAGAUGUGGAAGAACACCGAUGGCGAAGGCAGCAUCCUGGGACGCAACUGACGCUCAUACACGAAAGCGUGGGGAGCGAACAGGAUUAGAUACCCGUGUAGUC
rnacentral:rRNA from 1 species